AUACGGAGGAUGCGAGCGUUAUCCGGAUUUAUUGGGUUUAAAGGGUGCGUAGGCGGACGAUUAAGUCAGCUGUGAAAUGCCCGCGCUCAACGCGGGAAGUGCAGUUGAUACUGGUUGUCUGGAGUGCCGUUGCCGUGGGGGGAAUGUGUAGUGUAGCGGUGAAAUGCAUAGAUAUGACGAAGAACACCGAUUGCGUAGGCAGCUGACCAGACCGCAAAUGACGCUCAUGCACGAAAGUGCGGGGAUCGAACAGGAUUAGAUACCCUGGUAGUCCGCGCAGUAAACGAUGAAUACUUGUUUUCGGCGAUAUAAUGUCGGAGGCAAAGCGAAAGCGAUAAGUAUUCCACCUGGGGAGUACGCCGGCAACGGUGAAACUCAAAUGAAUUGACGGGG
rnacentral:rRNA from 1 species